UACGUAGGGGGCUAGCGUUGUCCGGAAUCAUUGGGCGUAAAGAGCGUGUAGGCGGCCCGGUAAGUCCGCUGUAAAAGUCAAAGGCUCAACCUUUGAAUGUCAGUGGAUACUGCCGGGCUAGAGUCCGGAAGAGGCGAGUGGAACUCCUGGUGUAGCGGUGAAAUGCGCAGAUAUCGGGAGGAACACCAAUUGCGAAGGCAGCUCGCUGGGACGUUACUGACGCUGAGACGCGAAAGCGUGGGGAGCAAACAGG
rnacentral:rRNA from 1 species